rnacentral:lncRNA from 8 species
CUUUUUUUUAGGGGAUGCGGAUUUUCCUUCCACAGUCCAGAGAGGGAGCAUACCUAAGUGGACAGGAUAUGAUAGGAAACCUUUUAAAUCCAACCAAAAGUUUUCCUCUUCCAAAUGACCGUGAGUAUAACGUUUAUUUAUUCAAUCUGGUCAGUCGCACAGAAAUGCUUAGUGCAUAUGUCGCGGAACCACAUUAAGCCUAUUCCAUGUUUAAAAGCCAUUUCCAUUGAGCAUGCUUUUCAGUCAAGGUUUAGGUUUAAUCAGGAUCUGGGAAAAUGGCCCAUAAAGAUACAAUUCCAUUGUACCACAUUCUGACACCUCCAGAGUUCCAGGAGCUGGUCCUGGGUCUGCUGUUGGACAUCAGUCAGUCAGUGAAGGAGCUGGUAGGAUGGGUGGGAGUUCUGUAACACUGGGAUUCUACUGAGGAUUCUGGACCUGGAACAGACUUCCAGUUUGAUGUGUGUAGAAUCCUGGAAGACAUGGCCAACCUGGAGAGAGUUCUAGAGCCUCCGGAGGUAGCUGCCCAGAUGAAACAGUUCCUGAGUAGGAUCGGUGGGAACACGUUGAGGGACAAUGUCACUGGAGUGAUGGAGAGGCUGAUGACCAAUGAAGCUAUGAGCAACUUCAACAUGAAAGGAAGGAAAUGGACCAAGAAGAGUUCUCUCACACUCCCUGAGCAAAAUCUUUAUUGGAGAGAAGAAAUCCUUUGUUGGUCUGGAAGCCUUCUUUCCUGGAACCAUCAAUCAACCUAUAAACUGGCUUUAUCCACCACCAUGGGGGUGGACAAAGCCAUGGAAACCACCAAAACGUUUGAAUAUGAAUGCACACAUUUACAUGAGAAGCAGAUAUUUGAUUUACAUACAUGGGCGUGCUUAAGUCACAGGCUACAUUUACAGGACAGUGAUGUUAUUGUGCAUUCUUUGCGCUUUGUGUCAUUAUAUUGCACCUCUUCCAGCAUAAAAAAAGGUGGAUUUCACAAUCACACCAAAUGGCCUUAUACACUUCAAUGACCUUAACAAUGGCAUCCAGUAAAUAAACCAAAAAACGUUAUUGUUUAGCCUAUGAAGUUAUGAAAAAUAUGAAUAACUAUCCACCCAUGACGCCAAUGAGGGAGCGUUUGGUCAUUGACUGCAGGUAAGGGCUACACAAUAUCGAUUUCAUAAACAAAUAACAUAGCUUUUUCUGUUUUUCAUGAGAAUACGCACGUCACAUUCAUGCGCACUGGCCAAUGCUGGGAUAGAUUGGCGGUCCCACGUGUCCUCUCUCACUCUCUCCAUUCAAUUUCAAUUGAAGGGGUUUAUUGGCAUGGGAAACAUAUGUUAACAUUGCCAAAGCAAGUGAAGUAGAUAAUAAACAAAAGUGAAAUAAACAAUACAAAUUAACAUUACACUCACAAAAGUUCCAAAAGAAUAAAGACAUUUCAAAUGUCAUACUAUGUGCAAGAAGUACAAACGGCACUACAGAGGGUAGUUAAAGUACAAAAGGGAAAAUAAAUAAACAUAACUAUGGUUUGUAUUUACAAUGGUUUUUGUUCUUCACUGGUUGCCCUUUUCUUGUGCUGUUAUGUCACACUGUGGUAUUUCACCCAAUAAAUAUGGGAGUUUAUCAAAAUUGGGGAUGUUUUCGAAUACUUUGUGGGUCUGUGUAAUCUGCGGGAAAUAUGGGUCGCUAAUAUGGUCAUACAUUUGGCAGGCGGUCAAGGAAGUGCAACUCAGUUUCCACCUCAUUUUGUGGACAGUGUGCACUGUCACUCUCUGCAUAGAUGUCCGCCGGCGCAUACGAUUUAACAGAAAGUACAGAGAACGGGGAAAAGACAUUUCCCUCGCCACAAUUACUAGAGAUUGUUUUGGAGCUGAUCAUACCGUCAGUCAGCAUCCUGUGUCUGAGUUCGGGACAGUUGCCGCUGUAGCCUUUAAAAAACACUCUACUCUGCGUUUGUGAGCAAACUUAGGUUUUGGCAAAGAAUACUGGAUUCUACGCGGAACACCUUUGGUAAAAAGAACCGGAAUAUAACGAUCGAACGGAUGAGAGGUGAAUGGGGUAAUAAUCUGAUUAAACGUUCCGGAAAUAUGUAGCCUAAACAUAUUUAUAUUUUUUUUAUUCCUUGACAGCUUUCUCCGUUUAUGACACCAGCGUCAUAUAUUUUAUUUUUCUAUUUUCUAUUCGUACUAAAGAUGACGACUAGUGGUGAUGCGAACUGAAUUGAGGACCUAUGUGGCCAGUGUGACUCAAUUACACAUUCUCUGGCAAAAUUGUUCCCUCUAAUUUUUGGCGAGUGGGACACCAGACUUUCACUAAAACCACAAUGUGCAUGAUGUGUCCAAGCCAAGGUCCACAUUCUGCCCAGUAAUGCAGGCCCAAAAAUGACUCUUCAACCAAUAUUUUCUAGAUGCAUAUCCUCCUAUGGAUCGAACAACAGAACACCAUGCUCAGGCCUAAAGAAGAGUUCCAACGGCUC